CCUACGGGUGGCUGCAGUGGGGAAUAUUGGACAAUGGGGGGAACCCUGAUCCAGCGACGCCGCGUGAGUGAAGAAGGAUUUCGGUAUGUAAAGCUCUAUCAGCAGGGAAGAAAAUGACGGUACCUGACUAAGAAGCCGCGGCUAACGACGUGCCAGCAGCCGCGGUAAUACGUAGGGGGCAAGCGUUAUCCGGAUUUACUGGGUGUAAAGGGAGCGGAGACGGUGCCGCAAGGCGGAUGUGAAAGGUCGGGGCCCCACCCCGGGACUGCAUGGGAAACUGUUGAACUGGAGUACAGGAGAGGUAACCGGAAUUCCCAGUGUAGCGGUGACAUGCGUAGAUAUUAGGAGGAACACCAGUGGCGAAGGCGGCUUACUGGACUGUAACUGACGUUGAGGCUCGAAAGCGUGGGGAGCAAACAGGAUUAGAUACCCCUGUAGUC
rnacentral:rRNA from 1 species